rnacentral:rRNA from 1 species
UACAGAGGGUGCAAGCGUUAUCCGGAUUUAUUGGGUUUAAAGGGUACGUAGGCGGCGAGGUAAGUCAGUGGUGAAAGUCAGCAGCUUAACUGUUGAAUUGCCAUUGAUACUGCUUUGCUUGAGUGCAGUUGAGGUGGGUGGAAUUCCAUGUGUAACGGUGAAAUGCUUAGAUAUAUGGAGGAACACCGAUAACGAAGGUAACUCACUAAACUGUGACUGACACUGAGGUACGAAAGCGUGGGGAGCAAACGGG